GUGAUCAUCGAAUCUUUGAACGCACCUUGCGCCCCUUGGUAUUCCGAGGGGCAUGCCUGUUUGAGUGUCAUUAAAUCCUCAACCCCUCCGAUUCGUUUCGGUGGGGAUUGGACUUGGAGCGUGCUGGCGAAGGUCGGCUCCUCUUUAAAUGCAUCAGCGGAGAAAAUGCCUUUUGCGCCUCUGGCCGUUCAGCGUGAUAAUGAUGUUGCGCUGCGGUCGAGCUUAAGGUCCGCUUCCAAAGGUCCUCGGACAAAUAUACAUAUGACUUUUGACCUCAAAUCAGGUAGGACUACCCGCUGAACUUAAGCAUAUCAAUAAGCGGAGG
rnacentral:rRNA from 1 species